CCUACGGGAGGCAGCAGUGAGGAAUAUUGGUCAAUGGGCGGGAGCCUGAACCAGCCAAGCCGCGUGAGGGAAGAAGGUACAGCGUAUCGUAAACCUCUUUUGUCAGGGAACAAAGGCUGUGACUAGUCCCCGGAUGAGGUUACCUUAAGAAAAAGCAUCGGCUACCUCCGUUCCAGCGGCCGCGGUACUCCGGGGGAUGCGGGGGUUAUCCGGAUUUAUCGGGGUUAAAGGGUGCCAAGGCGGCCUGUUAAGUCAGCGGUAAAAGCCCGGGGCUAAACCCCGACGAGCAGUUGAAACUGGCGGGCUGGAGUUGGAGAGAGGUGGGCGGAAUGCGAGGUGUAGCGGUGAAAUGCGUAGAGAGCGGGAAGAAUACCGAUUGCGAAGGCAGCGUACCGGAUCCAGACUGACGCUGAGGCACGAAAGCGUGGGUAGCGAACAGGAUUAGAUACCCGAGUAGUC
rnacentral:rRNA from 1 species